UGGGGAAUAUUGCACAAUGGGCGCAGGCCUGAUGCAGCAACGCCGCGUGAGUGAUGAAGGUCUUCGGAUUGUAAAGCUCUGUCUUUGGGGACGAUAAUGACGGUACCCAAGGAGGAAGCCACGGCUAACUACGUG
rnacentral:rRNA from 1 species